CCCUCUGGAUCAGAGAAUAAAAGUUUUCACCUGGGGGUGAUAAUCCAGAAAGAGUUGGGACGACUGAAAAAUAUUCCACCAAAGGAAUUAGAGAAUGCUAAGGCUCCUCAGCAGUGCAAACCUGGUAACAAGAGCAGUAUUUCUGUAAUGACAGAAGAGGCUGUUAAAUUGGCAAUGCAGAAUAUUGAAAAAGAAAUUACAGCAGUCACGAAGCAGAUCUCCAAGUAAUAAUCUAAUUGAUUUUCUUUCAUUUAUGGUUUAAGACUGUGAUAAAGUGGGAACAAUUUUUUAAUGAGUGCCUGUAAAAUCAAGUGAGAUGCAUUUAUAAUGCCCAGAUGACUUGCAUAUUAUGUUGAGUCUUUCAGCAGAAGUCAUCAAGUUAAAAAGUAGUUUUGUUCUUACAAAAUUGCUUUCAGA